CUUGUUAUAUAAUAUCACAGCAAUUGCUCAAGAGACUACAAAGUAGAGCCACAGCAACAUCAGAAAUUUCAGUGGUUGCUGCCGUCUGCUGUCUGUUGUUGAGAAGCCUUGUUGUCUGUAGUGGGCCAUGGAUUACAAACCUCUGUGGCGACAACGUCAUACACUACGGACCCAGUGUAGCUGCUGUGUCGUCGGACACUGGUCUUCUCCAUCUCAGGGUUGACUUUCUUUUUGAGGAUGCUGGUCCAAUGAUGUUCUUCCUUAGUUCUGAGGUCCUGACCUCAAUUGAAUCUGGGGGCUGCAAUGAGCAAUCAUAUACGUAUCAGCAGAGGGAGCCAUUGGUUUCAGUUCAGUUUGAUUAUUCCAUACAUUUGAAUUCCAGCUUUACAUUAAGUUGUACUAUUUUCUGGAGCAGGACAUCCACAAACAACAGUCAAUGGUAAUGUAAAUGAAUUGGUAAGGUGAAUGGUACAUUCCCAGGUAUUUUGUACACUGACCCUUUCACCAGAGAUCGGUCCCAUUUCAGCCAAUGACAACCUGGACGUCUUUCUACUAAUGGAAGAAUGCAGACAGGAUGUCAGCAAUACCUAAAAGAAAUGCUCAUAAAGGGCCAUAAUACAGGAAGAAGUAUUACCUUUUUGAACGGAUCGCACAUAUCAUUGAUACUAUGGGAAGCAGAAGGGAUAGAAGACACAGACUCCACUGCACUGGUGACAAUAGUCUCCACACAAUCUCCAGAACCAUGGCAUUGACUUCCUGACAUACACAGAAGAAGAAAAAAGCACACUUAGUUCCAAGUUUCAGUUUAUGGCACAACAAAUCGAUCAUGGAAUUGGAGGCGGAGAGUGCUGCCUGGGUGAAAACAGGUGUACAAAACAUUUUGAAGGUAGUCUUUGGAUGACUCAUGAUAAAAUGUUCAUGAUAAAAUGUUCCUCAUUUUUGAUGUAAGUUAAUGCCUUUAUGAUCUUGUCAUGUCCACAAGGAUAAUUAAA